GGCCGCACCGCUGGCCGACCCUGAUCUUCUGUGAAGGGUUCGAGUUGGAGCANGCCUGUCGGGACCCKAAAGAUGGUGAACUAUGCCUGAGCGGGGCGAAGCCAGAGGAAACUCUGGUGGAGGCUCGAAGCGRUACUGANGUGCAAAUCGUUCGUCUNACUUGGGUAUAGNNGCGAAAGACUAAUCGAACCAUCUACGAGCCGGGACGUGGCGGCAGACGGCGACGUUAGGAAGUCCGGAGACGCCGGCGGGGGCCUCGGGNAGAGUUAUCUUUUCUGCUUAACGGCCCGCCAACSCUGGAAUCGGUUCAGCCGGAGGUAGGGUCCAGCGGCCGGAAGAGCACACAUCGCGCGGUGUCCGGUGCCCCCGGCGGCCCUUGAAAAUGGAAAAGGAUUGGCUCUGAGGGUUGGGCUCGGGGGUCCGGCCCCGAACCCGUCGGCUGCCGGCGGACUGCUCGAGCUGCUCCGCGUGCCGGCCGGGGGACGGCCUCGGGGGCCUUCCCCGGGCGUCGAACAACCGACUCAGAACUGGUACGGACAAGGGGAAUCCGACUGUUUAAUUAAAACAAAGCAUUGCGAUGGU
rnacentral:rRNA from 1 species